UUAAUUGAAGCCAAAGGGAGAGAGGCACCUUAAUGUUAAUAAGGAGAAUGAUUUUUAUCCAAUUAAA
rnacentral:tRNA from 1 species